rnacentral:misc_RNA from 1 species
GAAGCAAGAAAAGGAGUUCUGGUUGUGUAGAAGUAGAGAAUUUGGUAGAUACUAAUACUGAAAAUGUAGCUUCUAAUCCUAUUAAGAAAAAAAUUGAAGAAGGGUAAGGAAAAAGUUGUAGAAACUGCACAUGGGGGUGCUUUUGCUGGUUCUGGCACCUCUGCUGUUCCUAGUUCAAUAAAGCCCAUGGAAAAAAGGAAGGAAAGGAAGGUCUUGGUAAAAGAAAGGCGUCGCCUUGCUUUAGAAAAUGAAGAAUCAAAACCUGGACUAAUGCAAGUAGAUAAAAAAGUUAAUGAAAUUACGGGGCAGAUGGUGGGUUCAUCCACCGGUGGUUUGCCUGAGUUCCAUAUUGGCGUUUUCAAGGACUUGACAUCAGCAGAUGUUUCUGUGAGAG